GGAAUUUUGGGCAAUGGGCGGAAGCCUGACCCAGCAACGCCGCGUGAGGGAUGAAGGCCUUCGGGUCGUAAACCUCUGUCGGGAGGGACGAAAGGCGCGCAGGUGAACAAUCUGCGUACUUGACGGUACCUCCAAAGGAAGCGCCGGCUAACUCCGUGCCAGCAGCCGCGGUAAUACGGAGGGCGCAAGCGUUGUUCGGAAUUACUGGGCGUAAAGCGCGUGUAGGCGGUUCGGUAAGUCGGAUGUGAAAUCCCGGGGCCCAACCCCGGAACUGCACCCGAUACUGCCGGACUAGAGUCCCGGAGAGGAUGGCGGAAUUUCCGGUGUAGAGGUGAAAUUCGUAGAUAUCGGAAGGAACACCAGUGGCGAAGGCGGCCAUCUGGACGGUGACUGACGCUGAGACGCGAAAGCGUGGGGAGCAAAC
rnacentral:rRNA from 1 species